rnacentral:rRNA from 1 species
UACGUAGGUCCCGUAUGUUGUCCGGAUUUAUUGGGCGUAAAGCGAGCGCAGGUGGUUUAUUAAGUCUGGUGUAAAAGGCAGUGGCUCAACCAUUGUAUGCAUUGGAAACUGGUAGACUUGAGUGCAGGAGAGGAGAGUGGAAUUCCAUGUGUAGCGGUGAAAUGCGUAGAUAUAUGGAGGAACACCGGUGGCGAAAGCGGCUCUCUGGCCUGUAACUGACACUGAGGCUCGAAAGCGUGGGGAGCAAACAGG